GGGGAAUAUUGCGCAAUGGGGGGAACCCUGACGCAGCCAUGCCGCGUGAAUGAAGAAGGCCUUCGGGUUGUAAAGUUCUUUCGGUAUUGAGGAAGGUUGAUGUGUUAAUAGCACAUCAAAUUGACGUUAAAUACAGAAGAAGCACCGGCUAACUCCGUGCCAGCAGCCGCGGUAAUACGGAGGGUGCGAGCGUUAAUCGGAAUAACUGGGCGUAAAGGGCACGCAGGCGGUUAUUUAAGUGAGGUGUGAAAGCCCCGGGCUUAACCUGGGAAUUGCAUUUCAGACUGGGUAACUAGAGUACUUUAGGGAGGGGUAGAAUUCCACGUGUAGCGGUGAAAUGCGUAGAGAUGUGGAGGAAUACCGAAGGCGAAGGCAGCCCCUUGGGAAUGUACUGACGCUCAUGUGCGAAAGCGUGGGGAGCAAACAGGAUUAGAUACCCUGGUAGUCCACGCUGUAAACGAUGUCGAUUUGGGGGUUGAACUUUAAGUUUGGCGCCCGUAGCUAACGUGAUAAAUCGACCGCCUGGGGAGUACGGCCGCAAGGUUA
rnacentral:rRNA from 1 species